rnacentral:rRNA from 1 species
GAUGAACGCUGGCGGCGUGCCUAAUACAUGCAAGUCGAGCGAACAGACGAGGAGCUUGCUCCUCUGACGUUAGCGGCGGACGGGUGAGUAACACGUGGAUAACCUACCUAUAAGACUGGGAUAACUUCGGGAAACCGGAGCUAAUACCGGAUAAUAUAUUGAACCGCAUGGUUCAAUAGUGAAAGACGGUUUUGCUGUCACUUAUAGAUGGAUCCGCGCCGCAUUAGCUAGUUGGUAAGGUAACGGCUUACCAAGGCGACGAUGCGUAGCCGACCUGAGAGGGCGAUCGGCCACACUGGAACUGAGACACGGUCCAGACUCCUACGGGAGGCAGCAGAAGGGAAUCUUCCGCAAUGGGCGAAAGCCUGACGGAGCAACGCCGCGUGAGUGAUGAAGGUCUUCGGAUCGUAAAACUCUGUUAUUAGGGAAGAACAAAUGUGUAAGUAACUAUGCACGUCUUGACGGUACCUAAUCAGAAAGCCACGGCUAACUACGUG